AUUGAACGCUGGCGGCAGGCUUAACACAUGCAAGUCGAGCGGUAACAGAGAGAAGCUUGCUUCUCUGCUGACGAGCGGCGGACGGGUGAGUAAUGCCUAGGAAUCUGCCUAGUAGUGGGGGAUAACUUGCCGAAAGGUAAGCUAAUACCGCAUACGUCCUACGGGUGAAAGGAGGGGACCUUCGGGCCUUUCGCUAUUAGAUGAACCAGGGUCGGAUUAGUUAGUUGGUGGGGUAAUGGCUCACCAAGACCGCGAUCCGUAACUGGUCUGAGAGGCUGGUCAGUCACACUGGAACUGAGACACGGCUCAGAGUCCUACGGGAGGCAGCAGUGGGGAAUAUUGGACAAUGGGGGGAACCCUGAUCCAGCCAUGCCGCGUGUGUGAAGAAGGUCUUAGGAUUGUAAAGCACUUUAAGUUGGGAGGAAGAGCAGUUAACUAAUAUUUGCCUGUUUUGACGUUACCGACAGAAUAAGCACCGGCUAACUUCGUGCCAGCCGCCGCAGUAA
rnacentral:rRNA from 1 species